GACGAACGCUGGCGGCGUGCUUAACACAUGCAAGUCGAACGGAAAGGCCCUGCUCUUGUGGGGUGCUCGAGUGGCGAACGGGGGAGUAACACGUGAGUAACCUGCCCUUGACUUUGGGAUAACUUCAGGAAACUGGGGCUAAUACCGGAUAGGAGCUCCUGCUGCACGGUGGGGGUUUGAAAGUUUCGGCGGUUGGGGAUGGACUCGCGGCUUAUCAGCUUGUUGGUGGGGUAGUGGCUUACCAAGGCUUUGACGGGUAGCCGGCCUGAGAGGGUGACCGGCCACAUUGGGACUGAGAUACGGCCCAGACUCCUACGGGAGGCAGCAGUGGGGAAUAUUGCACAAUGGGCGGAAGCCUGAUGCAGCAACGCCGCGUGCGGGAUAACGGCCUUCGGGUUGUAAACCGCUUUCGCCUGUGACGAAGCGUGAGUGACGGUAAUGGGUAAAGAAGCACCGGCUAACUACGUG
rnacentral:rRNA from 1 species